rnacentral:rRNA from 1 species
CCUACGGGAGGCUGCAGUGGGGAAUAUUGCACAAUGGGGGAAACCCUGAUGCAGCGACGCCGCGUGAGUGAAGAAGUCAUUCGUUAUGUAAAGCUCUAUCAGCAGGGAAGAAAAUGACGGUACCUGAGUAGUAAGCCCCGGCUAACUACGUGCCAGCAGCCGCGGUACUACGUAGGGGGCAAGCGUUAUCCGGAUUUACUGGGUGUAAAGGGAGCGUAGACGGCAGUGCAAGUCUGGAGUGAAAGGCGGGGGCUCAACCCCCGGACUGCUCUGGAAACUGUAAGGCUGGAGUGCAGGAGAGGUAAGUGGAAUUCCUGGUGUAGCGGUGAAAUGCGUAGAUAUUAGGAGGAACACCAGUGGCGAAGGCGGCUUACUGGACUGUAACUGACGUUGAGGCUCGAAAGCGUGGGGAGCAAACAGGAUUAGAUACCCGGGUAGUC